CAUACGUAUAUGGCAUCACGUGACGUGUUUUUGUAAAUUAUGUACUUCCGGUGAAGUUUUGUAACAGUGAUUGAGCGCUUAUUAUGCGAUUAUUAACAGUGUGUGUGUGUGUGUGUGUGUGUGUGUGUGUGUGUGUGUGUGUUCACCGCAUCGGAUAUCAUUAUUUACGAGAUCGUGUCGGAGCAGCUUUAGAGGAUCAGGAAACACACGAGUCUCAAACAUACAUGUUUAUGAGGGAUGGGUAUGAUUUAUGAAGAUUAAUGCUUUGAUAACGCUUUAUCUUUUGAGAGCGUCUUACAGAGCGAGGACGACUCGAAGGAGCGUGGAUCACGGGGAGCUUCUUUUUUGGGUGAACUAUUGCUUUAAUAUAAAAAGAUCCUCAGAGGAGCGUCUGAAGGUUCCUCGGGAGACUCUGGGAAUCAUCUGAUCUGAGGAUGAAGAUGAGGAUGAAGAUGAGGAUGUCAUGUGUUUUCAGGAGAGAACUGUAACUCGUCUCAGACGAGAAGAACG